GAUAUGAGGACAAUUUGAUUGUGACAUCUGUCACCCCAUUGAUCACCAGGAUUGAUUAGCUGAUCUAGCUUGCUCAGUUUCCUCUUUCUUCCGCACCAUUACAUGUGCUUUUGCUCCCAAACUGCUCACUUGGUAGAAGAGGAUGACUUUCUCCAAAAGAAAAGCACCAUUCUUUGGUCAAGGGUGUAAAAGUAGCUUCUUUCCCAAGCUAGAAUAUCCAAACAAGUUCUCAAGAAAUAACAAACAGAAAUCAAUAAUGAAAACAGGACAUUAAUUGAGAAAAUCAAUAAAAUCUCCAGUUGUUUUUUU
rfam:Fukomys damarensis contig89683, whole genome shotgun sequence.